rfam:Schistosoma mattheei strain Denwood, Zambia genome assembly, scaffold: SMTD_scaffold0025829
GCACUGCUGAAGAGUCCCAUACUAGGGCAAAACGGCCGUCCAGUGC